UACGUAGGUGGCGAGCGUUAUCCGGAUUUACUGGGUGUAAAGGGCGUGUAGGCGGGUGUUCAAGUCGGAUGUGAAAAGGCAAGUCUCAACUUUGCUCUGUCAUCCGAAACUGGAUAUCUUGAGUGUCUGAGGGGAAAGCGGAAUUCCUGGUGGAGCGGUAAAAUGCGUAGAGAUCAGGAGGAACACCGGCGGCGAAGGCGGCUUGCUGGGGUCUAACUGACGCUGAGGCUCGAAAGUGUGGGGAGCAAACAGGAUUAGAUACUCGCGUA
rnacentral:rRNA from 1 species